AUGAGAGAAAAGAAACCAAAUCAGCAAGAUGACAACCACAUCAUCAUCAAACAGAUAUGGAAUUCAAAUUCAGAACGAUUUUAUGAGAGCGACCAAAUCACUGAGGUGCGUGUGGGACGACCCGCGCUCGUUGAUGCCAUCCUCCGCGGCCAUCUUCAGCCCCUUCAUCCUCUCAAUGGCGGCCUUGAUACUCGCUCUCUCCAGCCGAUGCGUGCCGUCGACCUCCACGCCCACCUUCCACACGUCGGCCACGUACCUGGCGUUGCCGUACUGGUCGCCGUGCAGCGGGUGGCAGAUCAUCGGCACGCCCUCCGCGAUCGCCUCCACCGUGGAGUUCCAGCCGCUGUGCGUGAAGAAGGCGCCCACCGCCGGGUGCGCCAGCACCUCCUCCUGCGGCGCCCAGCUCACGAUCAUGCCGCGCCCGCGCAGCUCCUCCCCGAGCCCGUCGGGCAGCUCGCCGGACUCGAACCCGCGGAUGAGCUUGGGCCGGACGACCCACACGAACGGCCGCUUGCUCAGGGCCAGCCCCCACGCCAGCUCCACGAACUCGUGCGGGUCCAUGGCGGCCAGGCUCCCGAAGCUCACGUAGAGCACGCUGCCGGGCUCCUGCGUGUCGAGCCAGCCGAGGCAUCCGCGGUCUGCCUGCGUCUCGCCCAGGCUGGUGGACUUGGCCGACGGCGCCAGUUUGUGGAGAGGGGCGACGGCGAACACCGGGACCGACAGGUCCUCGCGGAUCUGCUCCAGGUUGGCGGCCUCGAUGGCGCCCAGGGUGUUGAUUAUGAGGCCCGAGGACUGCCGCGCCCCGGCGACGGUGUGCCGGAGCAGCUCGGCGAAGUCCUCGAGGCGGCUCGUGUCGUGCCGCAGCAGAUCCUUCACAAGGUACGGCGGCAGCUCCUCCACUGGGUCGUCCUUGCGCGCGUCUGCACAGAUCCAGAUCGAGCAAAUGGUCUCAGCUUGACCGGUAAUGAAUCCAAGAAUUUGUUUGCUGGUCUAAAAACACGGCGAAUAAAUGAAGGGAAAUUAAGCGAAUGCAUCACCUUGCACGGGCAAAUAGGCCUUGUCAAUCAAGGUCUGGUACGCCAUGUAGACCCGGAAGAUGGCGGCGCUGGCGGUCAUGAUGCCGAGCGCCGGCACGCCGAGCUCCCUGGCCACGGCCUGCGCCGAGUACCACACGACGUCGGUGAUGACGCAGAGGACGCCGCCGUCCUCCGCCGCCUCCUCGGCUAG
rnacentral:rRNA from 1 species